rnacentral:tRNA from 1 species
AGCCGUGUGGACGACUAGAGAAGUCGCUCUGGUUCUCAGCCAGAAAGAAGCGGGUGCAACUCCCGUCACGGCUCCCA